GAUGAACGCUGGCGGCGUGCCUAAUACAUGCAAGUCGAGCGAAUGGAUUGAGAGCUUGCUCUUAUGAAGUUAGCGGCGGACGGGUGAGUAACACGUGGGUAACCUGCCCAUAAGACUGGGAUAACUCCGGGAAACCGGGGCUACUACCGGAUAACAUUUUGAACCGCAUGGUUCGAAAUUGAAGGGCGGCUUCGGCUGUCACUUAUGCAUGGACCCGCGUCGCAUUAGCUAGUUGGGGAGGUAACGGCUCACCAAGGCAACGAUGCGUAGCCGACCUGAGAGGGUGAUCGGCCACACUGGGACUGAGACACGGCCCAGACUCCUACGGGAGGCAGCAGUAGGGAAUCUUCCGCAAUGGACGAAAGUCUGACGGAGCAACGCCGCGUGAGUGAUGAAGGCUUUCGGGUCGUAAAACUCUGUUGUUAGGGAAGAACAAGUGCUAGUUGAAUAAGCUGGCACCUUGACGGUACCUAACCAGAAAGCCACGGCUAACUACGUGCCAGCCGCCGCGGUAA
rnacentral:rRNA from 1 species